rnacentral:rRNA from 1 species
UACGUAGGGUGCAAGCGUUGUCCGGAAUUAUUGGGCGUAAAGAGCUCGUAGGCGGUUUGUCGCGUCGGCUGUGAAAACCUGGGGCUCAACCCCGGGCCUGCAGCCGAUACGGGCAGACUAGAGGUAGGUAGGGGAGAACGGAAUUCCUGGUGUAGCGGUGAAAUGCGCAGAUAUCAGGAGGAACACCGGUGGCGAAGGCGGUUCUCUGGGCAUUACCUGACGCUGAGGAGCGAAAGUGUAGGGAGCGAACAGG